rnacentral:rRNA from 1 species
GAUGAACGCUGGCAGCGUGCCUAAUACAUGCAAGUCGAGCGAACGGACGAGAAGCUUGCUUCUCUGAUGUUAGCGGCGGACGGGUGAGUAACACGUGGAUAACCUACCUAUAAGACUGGGAUAACUUCGGGAAACCGUAGCUAAUACCGGAUAAUAUUUUGAACCGCAUGGUUCAAAAGUGAAAGACGGUCUUGCUGUCACUUAUAGAUGGAUCCGCGCUGCAUUAGCUAGUUGGUAAGGUAACGGCUUACCAAGGCAACGAUGCAUAGCCGACCUGAGAGGGUGAUCGGCCACACUGGAACUGAGACACGGUCCAGACUCCUACGGGAGGCAGCAGUAGGGAAUCUUCCGCAAUGGGCGAAAGCCUGACGGAGCAACGCCGCGUGAGUGAUGAAGGUCUUCGGAUCGUAAAACUCUGUUAUUAGGGAAGAACAUAUGUGUAAGUAACUGUGCACAUCUUGACGGUACCUAAUCAGAAAGCCACGGCUAACUACAUG